rnacentral:rRNA from 1 species
CCUACGGGAGGCAGCAGUAGGGAAUCUUCGGCAAUGGACGAAAGUCUGACCGAGCAACGCCGCGUGAGUGAAGAAGGUUUUCGGAUCGUAAAACUCUGUUGUUAGAGAAGAACAAGGACGUUCGUAACUGAACGUCCCCUGACGGUAUCUAACCAGACAGCCACGGUUAACUACGUGCCAGCAGCUGCGGCAAUACGUAGGUGGCAUGCGUUGUCCGGAUUUAUUGGGCGUAAAGCGAGCGCAGGCGGUUUCUUAAGUCUGAUGUGAAAGCUCCCGGCUCAACCGGGGAGGGUCAUUGGAAACUGGGAGGCUUGAGUGCAGAAGAGGAAGGUGGAAUUCGAUGUGUAGCGGUGAAAUGCGUAGAUAUAAGGAGGAACACCGGUGGCGAAGGCGGCUCUCUGGUCUGUAACUGACGCUGAGGCUCGAAAGCGUGGGGAGCAAACAGGAUUAGAUACCCGGGUAGUC